GACGAACGCUGGCGGCGUGCUUAACACAUGCAAGUCGAACGGAAAGGCGCUACUUGCGGGGUACUCGAGUGGCGAACGGGCGAGUAACUCGUGGGUGAUCUGCCCUGCACUUCGGGAUAAGCCUGGUAAACUGAGUCUAAUACCGGACAGGAGCCAUUUUUAGCGGGAUGGUUGGAAAGUUUUUUCGGUGUCGGAUGAGCUCGCGGCCUAGCAGCGCGCUGGUUGGGUAAGCGCGUACCAAUGCGGCGUUGGGAAGCCAGCCUGGGAGGGUGGACGGCCACAUUGGCACUGGGGUGCCACCCAGACUCCUACGGGCGGCAUCAGUGGGGAAUUUUCCGCACUGGGCGCAGGCCUGGUGCGGGGACUCCGCGUGGGGGAUGACGGCCUUCGGGUUGUAACCUCCUUUCGCUAGGGACGAAGCUUUUUGUGACGGUACCUAGAUAAGACGCCCCGGCUCUCUACG
rnacentral:rRNA from 1 species